rnacentral:rRNA from 1 species
GGAGACAUUGUCGAGCUGUAAGCAGACCGCGAACACGUUCAGAAACACCCGGGUUCCGCGUCGUCGGCUAACCCCCACGCCGCGUGCCCGGACCUCACGGCGCUCGCGCCGUUCGGACCAAAUAAACUUGGGCGCGGGAUGCGCCAAGGAAUACAAACACGAGCGUCCCCUGUCGAACGCCCCAUCCGUGGGGCGCUUCGGGGAUCGGGAUGCCCAUCGAAUGUCUAAACGACUCUCGGCAACGGAUAUCUCGGCUCUCGCAUCGAUGAAGAACGUAGCGAAAUGCGAUACUUGGUGUGAAUUGCAGAAUCCCGUGAACCAUCGAGUCUUUGAACGCAAGUUGCGCCCGAAGCCACUAGGCCGAGGGCACGCCUGCCUGGGUGUCACGCAUCGUGUCGCCCCCUCCCCGCGCCCAAACGCGCGGCGGUGGUGGAAAGUGGUCCCCCGUGCGCGGUGUCGCGCGGUCGGCCCAAAUGUGAUCCCCGGCGACGCACGUCACGACAAGUGGUGGUUGUACCCUCAACGCGCUUUGUCGUGCACCACCGUGUCGGGACGCAUGAUCAGACCCAGUGGCACGUGCGAGCACGUCGCCUUCGACCGCGACCCCAGGUCAGGCGG